rnacentral:rRNA from 1 species
GAUGAACGCUAGCUACAGGCUUAACACAUGCAAGUCGAGGGGUAGCACGGAAGAAGCAAUACGGAAUUGAUGGCGACCGGCGCACGGGUGCGUAACGCGUAUGUAACCUACCUUUAACAGGGGGAUAACACUGAGAAAUUGGUACUAAUACCCCAUAACACCUUAAGAGGCAUCUUUUUGGGUUGAAAGUUCCGGCGGUUAAAGAUGGACAUGCGUUGUAUUAGCUAGAUGGUGAGGUAACGGCUCACCAUGGCGACGAUACAUAGGGGGACUGAGAGGUUAACCCCCCACACUGGUACUGAGACACGGACCAGACUCCUACGGGAGGCAGCAGUGAGGAAUAUUGGUCAAUGGACGCAAGUCUGAACCAGCCAUGCCGCGUGCAGGAUGACGGCUCUAUGAGUUGUAAACUGCUUUUGUACAAGGGUAAACCCUGGGACGUGUCCCAGGCUGAAAGUACUGUACGAAUAAGGAUCGGCUAACUCCGUG